CGGCGUGGUGCUGAGAAGACUCGUUCUUUCAUGAGAGCAUGUCCUGAGGGUCAGCUGUCCUGACUGGCGACUCCAGUCCAAACAAGUUGACUGCAAAUGACAUUGUGGAUGAUCUGGAGACUGGACUGUAGCAGGAAGAAGGACCAGACAUUUUGUUGGCAGAUGUCAACCUGUGUAAAAGAAGAUGGGGAGGUGUGAGUAUGUUUUCUUUAUUAACACGAGACAACACUCCACAUGCCCUCAGGUGCACACAUUUGCACUCGCAUUUCUCUCUUUUGCCCUGUUCUCUCUACUCUGCCUUUUUUUCCAUGAGGAGGCACUUAGCGUUAAUCGUAGCUGGCAACUUUAAUU